UUUCCUGGAAGGGAGCGUCAUAGAGGGUGAGAAUCCCGUCUUUGACACGGACUACCAGUGCUAUGUGAUGCGCUCUCAACGAGUCGAGUUGUUUGGGAAUGCAGCUCAAAACGGGUGGUAAACUCCAUCUAAAGCUAAAUACAGGCGAGAGACCGAUAGCGAACAAGUACCGUGAGGGAAAGAUGAAAAGAACUUUGGAAAGAGAGUUAAACAGUACGUGAAAUUGCUGAAAGGGAAACGCUUGAUGUCAGUCACGUUGGCUGGGGAUCAACCUUGCUUCUCGCUGGGUGUAUUUCCCGGUUGACGGGUCAGCAUCAGUUUCAGUCACCGUACAAGGGCAAGGGGAACGUGGCACUUCUUGGAGUGUGUUAUAGCCUUUUGUUGUAUGCGGUGGUCGGGACUGAGGAGCUCAGCACAGCUUCUUGCUUGUGCUCAGGAUGCUGGCAUAAUGGCCUUAAGCGACCCGUCUG
rnacentral:rRNA from 1 species